rnacentral:rRNA from 1 species
CUGCUGCCUCCCGUAGGAGUCUGGUCCGUGUCUCAGUACCAGUGUGGGGGACCUUCCUCUCAGAACCCCUAGACAUCGUCGCCUUGGUGGGCCGUUGCCCCGCCAACUAGCUAAUGUCACGCAUGCCCAUCCGUUGCCGGAAUCGCUCCCUUUGGCCGCAGGGCCAUGCAGCCCCGCGGCGUUACGCGGUAUUAGACGGGAUUUCUCCCGAUUAUCCCCCCUGCAACGGGCAGGUCGCAUACGCGUUACUCACCCGUGCCGG